rnacentral:tRNA from 1 species
GGGGCCGUAGCUCAGUUGGGAGAGCGCCGCCUUUGCACGGCGGAGGGCGUGGGUUCGAAUCCCAUCGGCUCCA